GCAUAACGUCGCAAGACCAAAGAGGGGGACCGUUCGGCCUCUUGCCAUCAGAUGUGCCCAGAUGGGAGUUAGCUAGUAGGUGGGGUAACGGCUCACCUAGGCGACGAUCCCUAGCUGGUCUGAGAGGAUGACCAGCCACACUGGAACUGAGACACGGUCCAGACUCCUACGGGAGGCAGCAUG
rnacentral:rRNA from 1 species